GUUCUGAUUCUGGUUCAGGCCGUCAUGAACUUAAAGUUAUCGGGCUCAGACAAUAUUUCCUCAUACAUGGCUGCUAUCUCCCGCCUAAAAUCUAAAGCUUUAUCUAUUCUUUUGAAACUCUGUGAAGCUGAAAGUGUAUCAUACCUAGAUGAGGUGGCUAGCAACACAACAACUCAUAAUAUGACAAAGUUGGACUCGAGGUUCUUGCAUUGCUGGUAAAAGCUUGGUAUAGAUUCAAGACAGUUAUAUGCUCCCUCCGAGG